rnacentral:piRNA from 1 species
UGUAACCAGGUUUAUACAUGUUUAGUGGAGG